AGAAAAUGGGGCACAUGAUGUUGGGUCCAAACCUUUUGCCCCUCAGGAAGCAUCUGGGAGUUGUGAAUUUCCUCCUGAUUGUAUGUUACUGUGGUGGGGUUGGGGUUUAUGGCCAGAGGGUGUCUUGGCCUUUCCUACCCAUUUCGUUUUGAGUAGUUUCUUGCUUGCCCAGUAUGUAGAAGUCACUCAGCUAGUUUCUGGAUUUCUUUCAGAGGGAAUUGCUCCACGUGUAGCUGUAGAUUUGGCGUGUCCAUGAUAGGAGUGGUUGCCUGAAGGUUUACAGUAUACACCUUGAUUUACUCAGUUUACCUCCAGAUAACAUCACACUGCUUCACAUGGAGUAGCCGACUUUGAAGAUUUCUAAGACAGCUAGCAGGAGCCCAAGUUUCAGUCUACGAGUCCUGGCAGAGAGGGAAAUACAGUAACCAUAUAAAGUUACACAAGCAAACUUAAGUGUAACCGGGCUAGAUUUGCAUAUGUAGCUGCUACGUGGAUUCUCCUAAAUUCUGGAAACACUAAACAAAGAAGGAAAAUGAGCUGGCAAGCACAACCUGGCAAUGAAGUAAAACUGCCCAGCGGGCCACAAACUGCUGAAUGCAUCCAUGCUACAAUGAACAGCACGUUCCAGAGAGAUCCACAGCAGCGCAGAAGAAAAAAAUAUGAAAGAAACAAAAAAGCAAAGAACGCAGAAUCACUUAGAGGAGAGAGUAAUCCUCUAGGCCACCAGACUUCCAUAUUUAUCUUCCCUACAUUGAAAAGCAUGGUCUUCUCUCCCCUAGGAUCCCUGACUAUUCUGAUUCUACUACCAUGCUUUAAGAUGCCAUUCCCGACAGUCCCCAUCAGACGUUAUCCUCACAAGAAGAAUCACAUGUGUCCUCAUGAUGGGACAAGUCUCCAAAAUCUUUGAAGUUUCUGC
rnacentral:lncRNA from 1 species